rnacentral:lncRNA from 1 species
UUAGUGGUCCAGUGGUGGUUGAACUAUCUCGCUCUCUGCCCCUUCUUCGGGAGGUCAAGGGUUCGAGGGCCACCGCUGGCAGAUGUUGCUCUUGAGGGUCUUCGGGCCCAAUACGGACACUUCACACGCGCGCGGCCACUGGUCCAAUUACAUGUGGCUGGCCAGCACCUCUGGAUGACCCUCGGCGGGCUCCGGCGGCUCCUACGGGGGUUCACCGGACGGUCUUUGGGCGCUAGUCGGAGUCUUACGGGUCAUCCGGACACCAGAGUCAUCAAAAAAAAAAAAAAAUGUAUGUUGCCAAUGGAAACGUUCCACCUUUGAUUUUGUUCUACUAAAAAGAACGUAAUUAAAUACAUCUCUAUAUGAAUGUGAUUUAAGAAUAAUUGAUCACUUUUUAAUCAACCUAAUGAUUUAUUGUCUCCCAGACUCCUAUCUCCUAAAGACUACGUAUUAAGAGGAUUCUUUUUGUUAAAAUUUGAAGUUCAUCAAAAAUAUACUAUACCCACAAUUUGUUGGAACGUAGUCUUUUAGAGUUCUAAAAUUGUGGUAAUAUUACCAAAUUAACAAAAAAAUACCCCUAAUUAAUGAAGCCAUAGUGCAAGAACUCAAUCCGUCGGUUUGAAUCUGGUUCGAACUAAACUGGGCUGUUCUUUAAUGGUUAAACUUGUUUGAUAGUUAGUUCAAACCAUUUACAUUAGUACGUAACUAGAGGUAUUGGUUGGUUACUUGGUUUAACACUUUAACUCAUAGGCAAACACUGAGCUGGCCCACCUCCCGUAUCUUUUUCACUUCAUGCUUUAAAUAGAAGAAUCUUUUACAAUAACAGAAUCUCAAUUUUUAUCAUGGUUACUAGGCCUGGGUUCGCGGGUCAACCAGCCCUGCACGACCCGCCAACCCGCGGAACAUUUCUUUUUUUUUAGUUAAAAUUUCAACCCGCUCAACCCGCAAAGAAAUAAACUAAUACCCGCACCCGUCCCGUUUUAUUUUGCGGGUAACCCGCGGGACCCGCGGGUUAUAUUUUUAAUUAAAAAAAUAAUUAUUUAAUUAGUUUUUCUAUAAAAUAAUAUAUUUAUAAGUAAUUUUUUAUAUUAUUUUUUAAAAAUUUAAUUAUUUUUGUUUAAAAUAAAUUAUUUUUCUAAAAAAAUCGAAUUUUUCAAAAAAAAAAAGAUUUUUUUAUUUUUUAUUUUAUUUUGCGGGUUGGCGGGUAUCCGCAAAUCAAAAUCCACCAACCCGCACCCGCCCCGCAAAAAAUAGUCUUAACCCGCACCCGCACCCGCGACUUGAUUUUUUCAAAACGCUCGACCCGCACCCGCCCCGCGGCGGGUCAAAUGGGGCGGGCCCCGCGGGCUUUGAUUUAAAUUCCCACUUUUCGAUUGUGGUCCUAAGCGAAUAUAUAUGUAAAUCUAGGACCGGGUCCGGAUACCGUAGCAUAUCAGUUGCUCUGGACACUGUAUCAGAUCACUGAUUCAAAUAUGUUAGAAUGCGUGAGUUGUAGAUGACAAACAUUAUUUUUGUACGUACGUUUUAAAUUUGACUUUUUUUGUAUGGACUGCGUCUGCAUGGCUCUUAAGUUUUUUUUUUUUUUGUGUAGAACAUGGCUCUUAAGUUUCAACCAAAUAUAAUAUAACAUACAAAACAAUAAAAUCCAAUUUUAAACCUUUUUUGCAUAUAAGACAGCCACCAUCCCUUCAUGUCUGGUAAUUAUUGGCUUUUUGAAAGGUUGAUUUGUUCUGUUUCUUAGCAUUUUAAUGGUUUACAUUGAUUCGUUACCUCAUUCUCUUUUGGGGGCUGGUAACAAAGUUCAACUGGUUGCUUAGUUGACAUCUAAACAUAUAUUGUAUAGUAAUGCAAACCUAAUUAAUGUGAUUUGCAAUUCUCUUUUCGUACACAGUUUUUCUUUGGAAAAUAUGUAAUUAUAUAUGCUUAAAACCGAACCCGGUUCAUAAGGACCAGUUGAAGGUAGCUCUUUGCGACCAGUUAAAAUGGCUAUAUAUGACUGGGUAUAACGAGGACCAGAUAUGGAAUCUCUUCAGCCAUUCCAUAUGAUAAAGUGCUUUAAGCUUUGUUUGUCUCAUUGGCACACCGAUUUAUUUUAGUUAACACCUUAACAUUAUAGCGAAUAUUGAAAUUUAUCUAGCAUGCAUGAGAUGUUAAUGUGACACCAGCUUGCCUAAUAAAUGUUUCUCCAAUUAAAUUAUUUUAUGAAUGGACCCCGAUAGUGUUCCAUGUAUGUAAUGAUUUAAUGUAGACCUUUAGACAAAAUCAAAAUAAAAAACUUUAAUCGGGUUUAGAUGUUGCCAGAAAUCAUAGUCUAUGUACUGACAAUUCAGCACUAGUUUCCUGUUUUUAGAGGUAAAUCUAGGGGUGUUCAAUCCGGAUAUUGGUUCGGUUUCGGUUUGGUUUUUGUGGUUUUUUGGUAUUUCGGUUAGUAAAAUAUAACUACCAUUCUAAAUCCAUAUUUAUUUUGGUUCGGUUCGGUUUAUAUACCAUCGAUUUUCGGUUUAUUCGGUUUUAUACCAAAACAUAAUUAUUUAGUUUGAGAUCAUAUUAUAUAAAUUUUAGAGUCAUAUUGUCAUCGCAGUCAUUUAUUAAAAAAAUAUUAUAUUUUCAAAUAAAAGAACAAAAAAAAACGCUUAUACUUUCAGAUGAAAUAAUCAAAUCUAGAAUUAAAAUCAAAGCUCGAAAUUUUGAAAAAAAAGAAGUAUGAAAGAAAAGUUUUUCCUCUUCCAUAUUUAAUGUUCAUCGAAGUCAUGCUUCUUCGAGUGAAACUAUGUUCGUUUAUAAAAGAAAAAAGUUGUGAAGAAUUUUUUCAAGUUAUUAUCCAUCAAAUUUAUAACCUUCACUUCAAUUUAAUCAAUGCAAAAAGAAAACUUCAAUUUAAUCAAUGCUAAAAGAAAGCAAAAUGAUUAAAAUAAAAAGACUAAGAAAAUAAGAAGCCUCAAUUGCAAUGAAUUAUUAUUUAAUUAUAUUUUGAAGUGUUUUUCAAAUCAGGAUUCUUUAUUACUAUAAGAAAUAUGGUAAUACUUAUUAACAAAAGAAUAUAACAAAUAGAUUUCAUGUGACGUUAUAAAAUAUGUACAUAUUUACAUGUUUAUACUUUUGAUCGGUUUUGUUCGGUUUAUUCGGUUUAAUCGGUUAUAAACCAAACCAUAUCCAUAUUCUACGGUUUUUAUAAAAUCAUAUCCUUUCGGUUUUAUGGUAUAUACCAAAACCACACCAUAUUGUCUAUUUCGGUUUGGUUCGGUUUGGUACGGUUCGAUUUUACCAUAUUGGACAGGCCUAGGUAAACCUUCUAAAAUGUGUUUUGAGGAUUUAUACCAAUUGUAAUUGGCUAUUGUUUGUGGGUUCCCACGUCUGCUUUUGGCUCAUGAAUUCUCUUUUCGUCUGAUGGUCGAUACAUCGUUCUCAGAGCAUCUCCCCGAAAAAAAAUCUAUAAUUUCUAAUAUAGAUUUUUGUUCUCUAAAAAUAAACUUCGAAACUUCAAAUUUAAAGUUUUAAGAGCAUCUCCAAAAAAACUCUCAAUUUUAAAGUUUGCAAAACUCUAUAUUUUAAGUUUUAAGGGAUUCUUCUCUAAAAGUAAAACUUCAAACUUAACUUCAAUAUUAUUUGUAUUUUACUCUAUGGUUCUUAUAUUUUACUCCAUCUGUUUCAUAUUAAGUAUCAUUUUGACCUUGUGCACACAGAUUAAGGAAACAAUUAAUUUUGUAUAUUUCCUAUAUAAAAACACAAUUACCUACAAACCUAACCAUAUUUCAACCAAUAGAAAAAUAAAUUACUGCAUAAAAUUAAUAAAUUUUGCAUUGAAAAUCAAAAACGACACUUAUUUUGUAACGAAAAAAUUUCUCUACAACGACACUUAAUAUGAAACGGAGGGAGUACAUAAUUAAUGUAAAUCCAUAAAACUUUUAUAAAUAACUAGUACAUAUAAAAAUUAUUACAACAAUAUUAAUUAAUAAAAUCUUAUACUAAAAAUUAUAAACAUAAAUACAUAAUUAAAUAUUAAAUUACAAGUAAAAUACCAUAUUAUUCUAUAAAACUAUUUUCGUAGUAUUCCAUCUUCAUGUACUUUUUAAGAAAGUUCUUUUUAUUAAGUUUUUUUUAUAAAGUUUUUUUAUAAUAUUCUUGUUGUCUAAUUCUAAUUUAAAAUAGUAUAAAUCUUAUUUUAAAAUUUUUAUAUUAUUUUAUCUGUAAAUUUUGCUUUUAUUAAAUAAAUAUGAAAUAUUUAUGAGAUAUAAAAAAUUUAAGGAUUAAAAAAAGGUGAUUUGCCAAAAAUUACUCAAAACUUGAUUUGAAUACAAAAGUGUACCCCAAAUUCAAUCAAAUGCAAAAGUAACCCAAAAGCCUAGUGAAAUUACAACAGCCCCCUUAUGAACAAACAAAAAAUUUGUAUUCAAUUUUACCAUUAUAACUCUCUGUUAGAGAAGACUUCUUUGUAAGUCUUCUCGUUCAGUAGAUCUUAAAAAGAACUUUAUAAUUUUAUAAAAAAUAUUCUGAUGGUAAAAAAUUGAAAUCAAGUAAUAAUAAACAUUUCUCAAUGAUGUAAAUUUAGUUCAUCUGAAAUUGAAUUAUUUUCAACAUAGAUGAGUGAAUGUAUAUUGGCUCAUGAGUCAUUGGUUUAGGGUUUGGUAACAUAUGUUAUAGUAUUGUAUGUAUCUUUAUGGUUAGAUUAUGAAAUUUUACCUUCAUUUUUUUCUUUUUCAAAUUGACCCAUAUAUGUUUAGUAACUAUCUAAUAACUUGAUUUAAACACGUUCUAAGUUUUUUUUUUAAGUUUAAGAAAAUAUUUUUUGCGUAGUUAAUUAAUUUUAGGGUCUGGAAGACUCACAGAAGACUUAAAAAGAAGUCUUAAGACACAUCUCGCCUAAAUUUUAGUAGAAUUUAUGGUUCCCCCUAAAUUUUGGAAUAAUUUAGGUUUUCCGCCUAAAUCAAGUCUUCCAUAAGUUUUCCAGGAGUCUUCCAUAAGUCUUUCAGGAGUCUUCCAUAAGUCUUCCAGAAGUCUUCAAGAGAAAGUCUUCUCAUGUAUUAGAUCUUAAUAAUAAUUUAAUUUUUUUAUAAAAAAAUAUUUUCAUGGCUUAAAAUUUGAAAUCAUGUAAUAAUAAACAUUUUUCAAUGAUGUAAAUUUAGUUUAUCAGAAGUUGAAUUAUAAACCGCGCGUUAGUGGUCCAGUGGUGGUUGAACUAUCUCGCUCUCUGCCCCUUCUUCGGGAGGUCAAGGGUUCGAGGGCCACCGCUGGCAGAUGUUGCUCUUGAGGGUCUUCGGGCCCAAUACGGACACUUCACACGCGCGCGGCCACUGGUCCAAUUACAUGUGGCUGGCCAGCACCUCUGGAUGACCCUCGGCGGGCUCCGGCGGCUCCUACGGGGGUUCACCGGACGGUCUUUGGGCGCUAGUCGGAGUCUUACGGGUCAUCCGGACACCAGAGU